rnacentral:rRNA from 1 species
GACGAACGCUGGCGGCGUACCUAAUACAUGCAAGUAGAACGCACAGUUUAUACCGUAGCUUGCUACACCAUAGACUGUGAGUUGCGAACGGGUGAGUAACGCGUAGGUAACCUGCCUGGUAGCGGGGGAUAACUAUUGGAAACGAUAGCUAAUACCGCAUAAUAUUAAUUAUUGCAUGAUAAUUAAUUGAAAGGUGCAAUUGCACCACUACCAGAUGGACCUGCGUUGUAUUAGCUAGUAGGUGAGGUAACGGCUCACCUAGGCGACGAUACAUAGCCGACCUGAGAGGGUGCUCGGCCACACUGGGACUGAGACACGGCCCAGACUCCUACGGGAGGCAGCAGUAGGGAAUCUUCGGCAAUGGACGAAAGUCUGACCGAGCAACGCCGCGUGAGUGAAGAAGGUUUUCGGAUCGUAAAGCUCUGUUGUAAGAGAAGAACGGGUGUGAGAGUGGAAAGUUCACACUGUGACGGUAUCUUACCAGAAAGGGACGGCUAACUACGUG